GGUGUGCUUCAUGGCAUUUGACGGCGUCUUAGCACUCGCCUCACUUUCUUCAGCAUUUCCAUAUUUCUGCUCCUCCGAUCUGUUAUUGACCUGCGAAGAUGAGAAAGUGCGUCUCGCUCCAGCAUGGCUUCCAGAAACUUUAGAUCUAUGAAUGCUUGUUGCGGUUGGUUGUGGGAUCUAGCAUUUCGUUGUUACUUCGGUGACCCUUGUGUGCUGAUCUGUUUUUUAUUAAUGAAAUUUGGCUUUUUUUCCCCCUUUUUACUUGCUUCUCAUUGCUUGUAGAAAUGCUGUGUUUUACUUGCAAUUUUGUUUGUA